rnacentral:rRNA from 1 species
UGCGAGUCUUUGUAGUAUACAAGGCAGACGGCUCAGUAACACGUAGUCAACCUACCCUAUGGACGAGAAUAAUCUCGGGAAACUGAGCAUAAUUCUUGAUAGAUCAUAAUGCCUGGAAUGGUUUAUGGUUAAAAUGAUUCGUCGCCAUAGGAUGGGACUGCGGCCUAUCAGCUUGUUGGUGAGGUAAUGGCCCACCAAGGCGAUUACAGGUACGGGCUCUGAGAGGAGAAGCCCGGAGAUGGGUACUGAGACACGGACCCAGGCCCUAUGGGGCGCAGCAGGCGAGAAAACUUUGCAAUGUGCGAAAGCACGACAAGGUUAAUCCGAGUGAUUUCUGCUAAAGAAAUCUUUUGC